AUAUGAACAACGCAAAAAUCACAUUCAGAUUUCCAUGCAAACUUGAUGCGAGGUUCGCUUUGCUGAGCCCACGACCAUCGAACUCUGGGGAUACAGAAUGGAGAGGAAACCGAACAAUCUUGGGUGCGGUGCUUACCUGCCUUUUGGCACAUGGGAAGGAUCGCAAUGAUUGAACGUACAU
rfam:Verticillium longisporum isolate VL1 genome assembly, contig: scaffold_42